UUGUUGUUGUUAUUGUUGUUGUUGUUGGUGUUGUAGUUGUAGUUGUUGUGAUUGUUGUUGUUCUUGUUUAUAUUGCUUUUGUUGUAGGUAUUGUUGUUGUUGUUGUUGUUGUUGUUGUUGUUAUUGUUGUUGUUGUUGUUGUUAUUGUUGUUACUGUUGUUUUUGUGGUUGUUUUUGUUGUUGUUGUUUUUGUUGUUGUU
rnacentral:lncRNA from 1 species